rnacentral:rRNA from 1 species
UACGUAGGUCGACGCGUUGUCCGGAAUUAUUGGGCGUAAAGGGCUCGUAGGCGGUUCGUCACGUCGGGAGUGAAAACUCGGGGCUUAACCCCGAGCCUGCUUCCGAUACGGGCAGACUAGAGGUAUGCAGGGGAGAACGAAUUCCUGGUGUAGCGGUGGAAUGCGCAGAUAUCAGGAGGAACACCGGUGGCGAAGGCGGUUCUCUGGGCAUUACCUGACGCUGAGGAGCGAAAGCAUGGGGAGCGAACAGG